UGCGCCUGAAGCACAUUGCCGCUAUCCUGGAGGCGGUCCUCUCUGGAUAUCAGCGUUGCGGCUGGAGGCAGGGCUGGUCCUCAGCCUGCUGUCCACUGCCACCUUGGCCUGCUCUUGCGCCGCGAACUCUGUGCCGUCGUUCCCUUUCACCAUAUUUUGGGACGGCCGGCGCUAAGAAUUUAUGCUAUGACCUUCGAUUCAGCCAGGAGGUGACACCAAACUUGAUCAGAAACCAUGCCACAGGUGAAGAGGUAUAUUGA
rnacentral:lncRNA from 1 species